GGGGGGCGGAGGGGGAAAGCCAGCUCUUUCAGUUUCUUUUCUCUGCUACGCUGGGGAUCAGUUUCAUUCUAAAACAGAAUCCUUUCCAAGUUGGAAAGAAGAUGGCAGUGGAUUCAAACUUCAUUCCUAGACAUGACAACAUCCACAGGAAAAAGAGAGGACCAUGCCUCGGGUCUCUUUAUUAGGCACUUGGCAACUCUUCUCAGAAGCCUCCCUAGGGAGUUCGCAUCCUGGCUCAGUGGCAAUGAUCCUGACUAGUAACCAUGAAGACAUGGGUUUGAUCCCUGGCCUCGCUUAGUGGGUUAAGGAUCCAGCAUUGUGGUGAGCUGUUGGUGUAGGUCGAAGAUGGGCGUUGGAUCCCGAGUAACUGUGGCUGUGGCAGAGCCUGGGAACUUCCAUGUGCUGCAGGUGCGGCCCUAAAAAGACGGAAAAAAAAAAAAAAGUCCUCCCCAGCAGAAUUCCCCUCCGCUCACAUUGGCCAGGAUUGGACACACACCCAGUCCUAAACCGAUCAUCAGCAAUAGAAAUGAGAUUAUAAUUGGUGAAAGGGAUGGAGGGUGUGUGUCAACCUCCGUGAUUACAACACCUCCCCCCUUAAUUUGUCUGGCCCAUUUAUUUCAAAACUCAGCGCGAGUGUUAUCUCCUCUGGAAAGUCACCAAAAAGAAACAUCCUUCCUCGUGUAUGUCUGUCACCAUCACCGCCUCCACUACCACCCUCCUUGCCCUUGGACUGAAAGCCCUUUCACAGAAUCACUUCUCCAGGAUUCCACUCGGGUUUGUUUCCUGCAAAAUUUGAAAGAGAAGGACCCACUAGAGCACCAACUGUGCAAGUUGACCUCCAGACUACGACUAAAAACAACAACAUGGAGUUCCCGUUGUGACACAGCAGAAAUGAAUCCAACUAGGAACGAUGAGGUUGCGGGUUCGAUCCCUGGCCUCACUCGGUGGGUUAAGGAUCCAGUGUUGCCGUGAACUGUGGUAUAGGUUGCAGAUGCGGCUCGGGUCCUGUGUUGCUGUGGCUCUGGCGUAGGCUGGCAGCUGUAGCUCCCAUUAGACCCCUGGCCUGGGAACCUCCACAUGCCAUGGGUGCAGCCCUAAAAGAGAAAGAAAGAAAGAAAGAAAGAAAGAAAGAAAGAAAGAAAGAAAGAAAGAAAGAAAGAAAGAAAGAAAGAAAGAAAGAAAGAAAGAAAGAAAGGAAGGAAGAAAGAAAGAAAGAAAGAAAGAAAAAAAUAAAUAAAACAACAACAGCGCA
ensembl:lncRNA